GACGAACCGUCCGAACGUUAUUCGGAAUCACUGGGCGUAAAGCGCGCGUAGGCGGAUCGGCAAGUCUGCUGUGAAAGCUCCUGGCUUAACCGGGAGUGGUCGGUGGAAACUGCCAGUCCUGGAGGACGGUAGAGGUAGGUAGAAUUCCCGGUGUAGUGGUGAAAUGCGUAGAGAUCGGGAGGAAUACCUGUGGCGAAGGCGGCCUACUGGGCCGGGAC
rnacentral:rRNA from 1 species